GCAAAGUGCCUAUGAGAUUUAGUCAUUUAGUCAUUUAUUUCAUGCAUUCCAAUAUUUUAACAUAAUUUAUAACAAUAACAAUUACAGUAAAUGUUUAAUUAUUAUUUUACAAUAUCAACAUUGGAACCACGUUGGGGCACAGCAAUUUUAGCAGAGAGACGGCGCUGUAUUACUCGUCA